rnacentral:lncRNA from 1 species
GGAAAAUUCUUUAUGUUGAAUCCACAUCUGUUUCUCUACAGUUUGCACUCCUUGGAGCAAUACAGAAUAAAAUGUCUAAUACUGCUUCCACAAAUAUUUGAGGACUGCUAAUACAUUUCCUUCUUCCACUCAGUCCACAAGGCUCCUUUUCUUCACACUAAACAUGGCUGUUAUUUCAAACAGGGAGGCAGUGUGGGGCAGUGGAAAGCCCACUCUGGAGCCAGACACAU